UAUUGUCUAGACAAUAGUCUAGUGUAUUGUGAGAUGUAUCCAUCCAAUACAAUAGUCUAGUGUAUUGGCAUCCCUCCAAUACAAUAGUCUGAUGUAUUGUGAGAUGCAUCCCUCCAAUACAAUAGUCUAGUGUAUUGGAGAUGCAUCCCUCCAAUACAUUUACCACUCUAUUUGCAUACUGAUGUCAUCCUCUGACUCGUCUUACAUUUCAGGAUUGGCGUUUCUGUUAUCUAGUGGAGACAUCGUAAAUUAUAGAAAUUAAUGCAGCAGUGCAAUCGUCACUAAAAUGAUGCAAUAAGUUAUCUAUUUUGAACUCAAAAUGUAUAGUUUUGUUGCAGAAUACACUGGAACGUGUUUGUGGUCAUUUUGCUUUGACCUAGUGGCAAGAUAUUUAGACAACUGAACGUACAUGUAGGCGAACUUCCUGAUCUAAUGAUCCUCUAAGGCGCCUUUCCUAUUAAAUAUCAAUCUAUGUUAUCAUAAUAGUGAGUCAGUUUGCGAAGAGUACCAUAGCUUAAUGGCGGUUGUACUGGACGGCUAGCUGGCUACUUAUCGUAGCCAACAGAACCAUAAUUGCCAGCAAAAUUGCAAAGGGAGUUUUCAAGGUUGGUUUGUUUCCCCUCACUUGUUUCUCACUGUAAGUUUGGAUUUCCUACUUAUUGUCAGCUGUGGCUAUCCUACAGGCGAAAUCCAAUGUCUUGUCAUCUGUAGUAAACAGUACAGAGUUGUGAGAACAGAGUUGUGAAGUGUGGAGGUGUGAGUCACGUGCUCACAAUGAGGGUAAACAAUUGCUAUCAUGUUGAUGUCUUUAAGGUUCAACUAACACAAUCACUGACAGUAAAUGCUUGUGCUAUUCGUUUGCAGGUCGUGCAAGCCGCACUUUGGACGGCAAUUACAAUGCAAAGGAUGUCUUGGUAAACUUCAUCGUUUGCUUCGUCAUGGAAGUCUAAUUUCGUGAUCGCACAACUGAUCCGUCAUACAGUAAAAAAAUCAGAUGACAAUAUCCGGGAUAUUACUCAUCGUCCUUAUAUCAACGCUGAUUCGGAGAGAAGCAAGUUGAAUGGCCUCUGUUAUUUCAUUAUGCAUAAGGCUCCUCAUUACCGCUACAGUGGUAUUCACCGCCUCGAAACCUAACGAAGACGGUGGUAUGUUGACACAAAAAGUUAGCCUCUUGACAUGCUAAUGACAACUCGUUCUUUCCAGGACGUAAAAUCUCAGGGCAGAAAAACUAUGGCCUCUAUGAAGCUAAACGAAAGGAUGAGCAGCAGCUUAGUGUCUCAGCCGUCACAAAGGUGGCAAGAGACGCGCCCGAUGUCAUCGCACACGUUUGCAGAGGAAGUGAUGUUGGUCGCAGAUUGGUCACUGUGAUGGCUUAUGGCUACGUCGUGUUUGAGAUUCUACGACUGGACCCACAUAACUUUGACCUGUAUCUAUUGCUGAUUGUGGCUCUCCAUGCCAUGAGCAGUUAGUUCCACACCGUAACUGCCAAAGAGCAUUGAAAUUAUGUGAUGUCCUAGAUGACAGCCGGCAUAUCGCCAUACAACAAGAUAUGUUUAUUUGUGAUUAGUAGUGGAUGAUAGAAACGGAUAUGUAGAGUAAUAAAGAUCUGUGGUAUAUGUCAACAAACGGUCUCAAUGUAUGGCAACUGGCAGAUUAGUUACGUCACUACACUCAGUGUGACAGUACCUAUUCCAAAUGUUACACUCCAGUAUGAGUUACUAUUCGAGUAUGGGCUACUAUUGUUUCAACCCUCCUCGACAGAGAAUGUACCAGUAUCUACAAGCGUUGGACAAUGCCGUUCACGUAGAAUAAGGAGGCUCCAUUGCUAUGCUAUACUUGUCUGUCUAAACUCUACUUCCGAGCCACAGUUUGAAUGAAUACUGUGCUGGCUUCCCAAACAGUCUAAGUUGUGAACGACGUUCUUGUCACAGAUGCCAUAUUCUGAAUGACAUUGGUGACCACAGUGCCUUGCCUUGAAGAUUCAAGACUAUGUCACAGAGAUGAAAGUGUGUAGACAAUUGUUCAGCGCGUUGCUGCUUAUAGCGACUCAUGAGUUACUAUUCAAGCAUUGGUUAAUACUCAUGGAAAUAGGGUAUAAGUCACUCUUGAUUAUGCAAUGUAAAGCUUCGUUUACAUGAUGUUAUAAGGCCUGGGCCCAGACCUGAACCAGGACAAGCCCAAGCCCAAGUGUUUACAUGACAAUUAUACGGGUCAAGUUGAGCCCAGAGCUCAUGGGCAUGGCUCACAUUCAAAUGUCAAGUCAAGCCCCUAGGAAACAAUUUAGCUCCAUC